GAUGAACGCUAGCUACAGGCUUAACACAUGCAAGUCGAGGGACCGGCGCACGGGAGAGUAACACGUAUCCAACCUGCCCUUUACUCGGGGAUAGCCUUUCGAAAGAACGAUUAAUACCCGAUAUAAAGGAUGGGGAUGCGUUCCAUUAGGUUGUUGGUGAGGUAACGGCUCACCAAGCCUUCGAUGGAUAGGGGGUCGGAGAGGCAGCUCCCCCGCAUCGGAACUGAGACACGGUCCAAACUCCUACGGGAGGCAGCAGUGAGGAAUACUGGUCAAUGGGGGCUGGCCCGAACCAGCCAAGUAGCGUGAAGGAUGAAUGCUUUUGGGUCGUAAACUUCUGUUAUAUAAGAAUAUGUAUUAGAUGAAUAAGGAUCGGCUAACUCCGUGCCAGCCGCCGCGGUAAUUC
rnacentral:rRNA from 1 species